AUUGAACGCUGGCGGCAGGCCUAACACAUGCAAGUCGAGCGCGCGGCGGACGGGUGAGUAAUGUCUGGGCAACUGCCUGCUGGAGGGGGAUACCUACUGGCCACGGUAGCUAAUACCGCAUCCCAUCAGCUGUGCCCAGAUGGGAUUAGCUAGUAGGUGGGGUAACGGCUCACCUAGGCGACGAUCCCUAGCUGGUUUGAGAGGAUGACAAGCCACACUGGAAAUGAGACACGGUCCAGACGCCGACGGGAGGCAGCAGGGGGGAAGAUUGCACAAUGGGCGCAAGCCUGAUGCAGCCAUGCCGCGGGGGUGAAGAAGGCCUUCGGGUUGUAAAGCACUUUCAGCGGGGAGGCGUUACCCGCAGAAGAAGCACCGGCUAACUCCGUGCCAGCAGCCGCGGUAAUUA
rnacentral:rRNA from 1 species